GAAGGGUGCUAGCGUUGUUCGGAAUUACUGGGCGUAAAGCGCGCGUAGGCGGCUAUUCAAGUCAGAGGUGAAAUCCCUGGGCUCAACCCAGGAAUUGCCUUUGAAACUGUAUAGCUAGAGUGUCGGAGGGGAUAGCGGAAUUCCUAAUGUAGAGGUGAAAUUCGUAGAUAUUAGGAGGAACACCGGUGGCGAAGGCGGCUAUCUGGACGACAACUGACGCUGAGGCGCGAAAGCGUGGGGAUCAAACAGGAUUAGAUACCCUGGUAGUCCACGCUGUAAACGAUGGAUGCUAGCCGUUGGGAGGUUACCUCUCAGUGGCGUAGCUAACGCGUUAAGCAUCCCGCCUGGGGAGUACGGUCGCAAGAUUA
rnacentral:rRNA from 1 species